GAUGAACGCUGGCGGCGUGCUUAACACAUGCAAGUCGAACGAAGCAUUUAAGACGGAUUCUUUCGGGAUGAAGACUUUUAUGACUGAGUGGCGGACGGGUGAGUAACGCGUGGGUAACCUGCCUCACACAGGGGGAUAGCAGUUGGAAACGGCUGAUAAUACCGCAUAAGCGCACAGUACCGCAUGGUACAGUGUGAAAAACUCCGGUGGUGUGAGAUGGACCCGCGUCUGAUUAGCUUGUUGGCAGGGUAACGGCCUACCAAGGCAACGAUGCGUAGCCGGCCUGAGAGGGUGAUCGGCCACAUUGGGACUGAGACACGGGCCCAAACUCCUACGGGANACAGCAGUUAGGAAUAUUCGUCAAUGGGGGAAA
rnacentral:rRNA from 1 species